ACCCCUUCCUGAGACGCUCUUCACCAUUCCUCCCGCGAAUUCAAGGAGGAGAAAAAUAACAGAGAGUUAGAAACUGCAAUUAGGGUUUUUCUCUCAACAAAUAUUGGGGUUUUUCUCGUUCUUCUUUGGGAACCCCGCGUGUGCAUUUGCGUGCGGUCUGUUUAGGGAAUUCAUGGACAAACCCUAAUAUUUUUUUAUGGUUGGUUCAUGAUCUUCCAGAGAGAGAGAGAGGAGGGGAUUUUUUUGGUAGGUUGGGGAGAGGAAAUUUGAUGAAAUGGGAAACAUUUUCACAAAGAAACCCAAAGUGACUGAUGUGGACAGGGCCAUCCUUUCUCUAAAAACACAGCGCAGGAAGCUCGCACAAUAUCAGCAACAGCUCGAUGAUGUGAUUGAAGCUGAAAAGCAAGCUGCCAAGGACUUGAUCCGAGAUAAGAAGAAAGAUAGAGCCCUUCGAGCAUUGAAGAAGAAGAAGGCCCAAGAAGAACUAUUGAAGCAAGUUGAUACCUGGCUUAUUAAUGUUGAGCAACAAUUGGCAGAUAUAGAACUCACUAGUAAGCAGAAGGCUGUGUUCGAGAGCUUGAAGUCCGGAAACAAUGCAAUUAAGGCUAUACAAAGUGAGAUCAAUUUAGAGGAUGUUCAAAAGCUUAUGGAUGAGACAGCUGAGGCAAAGGCUUACCAAGAUGAAAUAGAUGGCAUACUUGCAGAGCGCCUGACAGCAGAGGAUGAAGAAGAUGUUUUGGCAGAAUUUGAGGACUUGGAAACACAGAUCGCGGUGGAAGUAAUGCCAGAAGCCCCUGCACAUGUGCCAUCUCAAAAAGAUGAUGAGGUUAUUGAAAGUAAGAAACCUGUCGAGGAUUUGGGACUUCCUGAUGUGCCAGCCAACCCGGUGACUGCCUCCGCGGCAUCUAAAAAAGUUAUGGAGGAGCCGUUGCCUGCUUAAAUUGUAUAAAGGAAAAAUCGUCAGAAAGUUAGUACACGUUUGAGCUUAUUAGGCAGAUCAUGCAGUGUUACUGAGGACUACUUGUCAUAUUUACAGAGCUGUAGAGCUUCCACAUUUGUUUCUUAUCAGGAUGAAGAAUCAAAGCAAGCUUUUUGUAUUGCUUUCUGACGUGAGAGAGGCUACCCAGUCGGGAUCUCAUCUACGGUUUCACGAGCAACGCAGAGAACUUGGAAGGCAGUCGCCAUUUGAGAGAUACCUUAGAGUUUUUCAUGCUCUUUUGCAUAUUUUAUGGUAGAUUUGAAGUUGAAGAGAAAAUAAUUACCCUGCAUGUUCUUUUAUGCGAAGGGAUCCUAGAACAUGUAUUACUUUCAUGGUGAAAAAGAGUGAAGUAGAAAGAGGAUUUGGGGUUUUCAA